GCCAGUGUGGUUUAGUGGUUUGAGUCUUGGAUUAUGACUCUAAAGACCAGGGUUUGAAUACCUGCUACAUCA